AACCAAGAAAUUUAGUCAUUCUUUUUCGGUAAAAAGACAGUUAGGCAAAACACACAUAUCGUUGGACCUUCAGUAUAGGGGUAAAAUCUAAAUACUGAAAGUUAUAUUAAGUACGAUUUAUUUUAGACGCUGAAUCUGUGAUAACUUUAAGGGAAACUGGGAUUGGAUACCCCAUUAUUUUUAGAAGUAAAUUUGAUUUAAGUUUACCAGAGUACUACGAAUAAAAAGUUUAAAACUCAAAGAGCUUGGCGGUGUUUUAGACCUCUCAGGGGAACCUGUCUCAUAAUCGACAAUCCACGUUAAACCCGACCCUUUAUAGCAAUUCAGCCUGUAUACCGUCGUCGUCAGGUAACUUCUUAAAACAUAGUAGUUAGCUCGAGAAUUCUAUUAAUUAGGACGUCAGAUCAAGGUGCAGCCAAUAAAAGGGAGAGGAUGGGUUACAAUUACAUAUUUGUAAUUACGAAAAGUACUUAGAACAAAGAGUUGAAGGAGGACUUGAAAGUAAUCUUGAUUAUAUAAACAGGAUGAAUAAGGCUCUGAAACGUG
rnacentral:rRNA from 1 species